rnacentral:rRNA from 1 species
AGUCGAACGGCAGCACGGAGCUUGCUCUGGUGGCGAGUGGCGAACGGGUGAGUAAUGCGUCGGAACGUAUCCACUAAUGGGGGAUAACGCAUCGAAAGAUGUGCUAAUACCGCAUACGACCUACGGGAGAAAGCAGGGGACCUUCGGGCCUUGCGUUAGUGGAGCGGCCGACGUCUGAUUAGCUAGUUGGUGAGGUAAAGGCUCACCAAGGCGACGAUCAGUAGCUGGUCUGAGAGGAUGAUCAGCCACACUGGAACUGAGACACGGUCCAGACUCCUACGGGAGGCAGCAGUGGGGAAUUUUGGACAAUGGGCGCAAGCCUGAUCCAGCCAUUCCGCGUGAGUGAAGAAGGCCUUCGGGUUGUAAAGCUCUUUCAGCAGGGAAGAAACGAUACGGGUUAAUAAGCCGUAUUAAUGACGGUACCUGCAGAAGAAGCACCGGCUAACUACGUGCCAGCAGCCGCGGUAAUACGUAGGGUGCGAGCGUUAAUCGGAAUUACUGGGCGUAAAGCGUGCGCAGGCGGUUUUUCAAGUCUGAUGUGAAAGCCCCGGGCUUAACCUGGGAACUGCGUUGGAAACUGAAAGACUAGAGUACGGCAGAGGGGGGUAGAAUUCCACGUGUAGCAGUGAAAUGCGUAGAUAUGUGGAGGAAUACCGAUGGCGAAGGCAGCCCCCUGGGUCG